UUGAUUAGACCCAAACCAGCUCGAAUCAGUAGCAUCAUUUUCUAUAUAAAGGCCUCCUCCACCUACAAACCAUUCCUCACACAAAACAUAAUCAUGGAGUGGUGCAAGAAGUUCGCUUUUCUGAUGGUUGCAAUGGUGCUUCUUCAAUCCAUGGUGCCUCCGACAGCAUUAGCUGCUCGUAACAAUGUUAUGGAAUACAAUCCAUUGGCAAGCGUAUUCUCGAGGGAAGGCCCUGGCUGCAUCGCAAAAGGCGGGUUUUGCUUGUUUGACCUAACCAGUUGCUGUAGGCCAUGCGGAUGCCUUGCAGGGUGGUGCUAUAACAUUGAUCAUGAUUGCAAAGAGUACACAUAAUGGUCGCUACUGAGUUAAAAAAAAACAGUUCUGAGUCAAAAAAUGACAUGGGAUUUGAUUAUAAAUGUUCUAUAUAUAACAUAUGUAUUUGAAUAAAGAAUCUCGUGUUAUGUCCCUGUUUAAUUGAGCUGUGCCAUUGUUGUAAGAGUCGGUGUUUUCCGUCUUCUCGUUGGUGUGUUGGUACUGUGUGUACCCUUGUUAUUGGCAUGUCUAAAAAUAAAUAUAUAUGUCAAUCAACUAAGUUUUAUGAGUACUUACCUGCCUCUCUUAUCUAAUUCAUGGACGGAUCACAUUUUAUAAAUUGAGCGAGGAGAUGUUAUUGUCGAGACUUGAAUCCUGGACUUUAAAUAUUAACACACAGCUCUUAACUACUUGCUCAAUUAUGGUAAAUAUCAUUAAUAAAUACUAAUAUCAACACGGAUGUUGGAAAUCACCACAGUUGGGUUGGGUGAAAAUCAAUAUGGAUGGAACGGUUGGGCGAAUGACUGAUAUAGCGACAGCAGGAGGAGUCAUCAGAGAUCAUAAUGUGAAGUGGCUGUGAGGCUGUUAUAGCAAUCUUGGUUCGUGUUCUGUGCUUCAUGCUGAGUUAUGGAGUGGUUGGGAGGGUUUCUUUCUGGCAUUGAAUUGCGGGUUUAGCAGGGUGGUUUCAGAAAUGGAUAAUGUAAAAAUAUUAUGUUCUCAGGAGAAUAAGGAAUAUACGGGUUAGCCAUGGGAAGUGAAGAUACAGCAUGCUUUGGUGAGGGUAAUUUUAUUCCAAAUGGUCUUGCAAACCAGCGGGUGAAUUCGAAUCCAGAAACACUUGUACUUAUCAGUGCACUAGACGAGAUCUUGAGAGAAUUACAUGAUGAAGCAUGCCAAAUUGGGUAUGGCAGGGUGUGAGUGUCUUAGUUGUAACUUUGUAUAGCUUUUUAUUUUACUCACGAAUUAAAAAAUAAUAUAAAUUCACGUAACUAAAUAAUAUUGCUUAAAGUGGUAUGAAGUAUGGAAUACUGGGGAAUUAUUAUACUUCUGUUUUUUGAAUUAUAUUUUAAAAUUCAUAUAUGUUUGUGGGAUCAAUUGGAUAUAUAAAAAGGACUGAUGUAAUUAUGCUUUCACUUUCAUUAUUAAGAUUAUCAAUUUAGUUUGUUAGUUGACAUAUAUGUUUAUUAAUAAAGUUAGCUUUUGAAAAAUAAAUAAAGUUAGCAAGAUUUAUGUACCAUCCUACCUAGGGUGGGACGAAUUUUUGCUUGUCCCUACUCAAACAAGAUGAACCCAACUUAAAUUUUAUUUAAUUAUUUUGUUUUUUAUUUUAAAAAUUAAUUUUUUGAGUUUACACAUAUAUAUAAUUAUAUGGCAGUGACAUUUUUGCAAAUAUUUAGGGACGGGUUGAGGGGAUUUACCUCAAACCCAAUUCCAACCCCUUAGCAUUUGAAUUUAUUGAAAUGCUUGGAGCAGAAGUCCAUUUAUUAUUGUUACAGUAUGCUUUUUUUUGUGCAAAGCUUGCUCUCGGAUUGCAAAGAAAAUCAAUUGGAUUUUGAUAGGAAGCUUUACCUAGUAUCUUUAUUUUUGUAAUCCCAGCCUUAUGGAUUUUAAUUUUAUGGUAAAAGUUCUAGGAAAGCCCUUAUACUUAAGGAGUGGAUUGCAUUUCGGCUCUUUCUAUUGAAAAAAUAAGUAAAUUAAUCUUUAUAUAUUUUGAAACGUGUAAAUUAAUUCGUCCAUUAAAUUUUAUGACGUGGAACGUUAAUUUAAAUGGUUGAUUACUAGUUUAAUCCCUGAACUAUAGUUAAAAUAUCAUUCUUUUUAAAAAUUCUUAACAAUAAUUCUAAAAAAUUAAAAAAAAAUCUUAAAAAUAAAUAUAACUUAUUAAAAAUUAUGUUAAAAUAUUUUAAAAAAUAAAAAUUAUAAAUAAAAAAUUCUAGAAAACAAAACUUAUAUCUAUUUUUUUUUUAAAAAUUGUCAAACUUUCAAGUCGAAACUUGAAACCAUCAUAUUUUUUUACAAGACUUUCUUCCCUGUUGUAAAAAACCCAAAAAAUCAAAAAGGUUUCUCAUGCUUGAUUGAAUUCAUAAAGAAAUAAAUAAAAACUUGAUUGAACCCAAGAAAAAUUAUCUAAAAGUUUUGACUACUCAUUUUCAAAUUUCUCAUACUUUCAUAAAUAUUCAUUUAAUCUUCGUCGCCUAUGCUUCCAACUAAAAUGUAUAUAAAAAUUUAUUUAAUGUUUACUUUAUUCUACAUUAGUGAAUACUCAUUUUUGCAUCUCCUAAUGAUGUAUAAUCAUAUUACAAAAUUUUGAUUACUCAUUUUCACAUCCCCUUAGCUAUUACAAACUUUCCUAUUUGAAAAAUCUUAUUGUUUUAUACCCUAGAAGCCUUAAUCUUUAAGCUACUGGGUUUUGAAUUUUUAAUAUAAAUGUGUGGGUUUUAUCUUUAAGCUUUAAUCUUGUUCGAAAAUUAGCAAAAGAUAAAUACAUUAAAAGCACAAAUUUAAAUUGCUAUCAUACCCUGAACCUAAACCCAUAAUUUAAUAGAAGACCCACCUUUGAACCGAUCUGACUCGACUAUUUUUCUAAUUUCACCCUAUAUGACCUACAUCGAACUUAAUUAUUCGAAAAUAAAAUUAGACCCAAACGGAUCGGGUCAGCACAAAACCCGUCAAAUUCACCAGGACGAAGACAAGGGGCAAGUAAUGCCCAAAAACAUAUAUAUAUAUAUAUAUAAUUUAGAUCUUUUAACAUUUAGGAAAUUUUAAAUUAAAAAAAAUACAUUUUAACAUUUUAAUCUCAAUAUUUAUGAUUCAUCUCUAUAUCCUUUUAAAAGUAUUUUUCUGGGUUCACCCUUACUCCAACCAUUCGUACUGCUUAGUAACAUAUAAACGUAACAAAUUAUUUAUCUCUCCCAUCAGUACUACAUGCACAUAAGUGCAUUCACUAUUCCAUGCAAUAUCUCAUUUGUCACAUGCAUUACGAACCUGGUCCCCAUCACUACAUGCACAUAAAUGCAUUCAUUAUUCCAUGCAAUAUCUCAUAUGUCACAGGCGUUACGAACCUGGACCAUCAUCUUUUCUAUAUAAAGGACCCUCCACCUACGAACAUUCCACACACAAAACAUAAUCAUGGAAUCCUUCAAGAAGAUCGUUUUUCUCAUCGUUGCUUUAUCUCUAGUUCUUCAAGCCACGGUGCCUCCAAACUGCGUUAGUCCUCUCGUAACGAGGUUAUGUCCUCUGCUGCUGUAUCGAAAGUGGCUAACGAUUCCAACGGUUUGGCUAAGGUUUUCGAGAAGGUAGGCCCUGGCUGCAAACCUAAAGGUUCGUUUUGCUUGUUUGACCUAACCAGUUGCUGUAGGCCUUGCGGAUGCCUUGCAGGGUGGUGCAAUAACAUUGAUCAUGAUUUCAAUUAAUGAGUACACAUAAUGGUCAUUACUGAGUCAAAAAAAAAAAAAAACACAGCUCUGAGUCAAAAAACGACAUGGGAUUCGAUUAUAAAUGUUCUAUAUAUAACAUAUGUAUUUGAAUAAAGAAUCUCG
rnacentral:lncRNA from 1 species